rnacentral:sRNA from 8 species
AAGUUCGGUAUCGAUAUGGUGUUCUUGGGGGAGCCCGAGACCGCAUGGUUGUCUAAGGAGGGGUGUACCGGCCCAGGUCGGAAACGAAGCAGGUCAAAUCCCCCGUACUGUCCAGUAGUGGGAUAGGGCCUGUGAGUAGAUGCUGCAGUGCAGCCUUGGCAAGACAUCGAAACCCAAUCUUUU